GCGGACAGGCCCCACUCGCCGCGGAGUGACGUCACUUUCCGGGCUGUCGCAAGCGCGAACGACGCCGCUUGAGGGGCGUUGGCUCGCCCCUACAAAACGCGCGCGGGUCCAUCCGUCGGCAUCGGUCGCGAUAGGGCGACGAAGCGGCCUCCAAACGCGUCCACAUCGGCGACAACCGUGAGAAUGACUCUUCAUCUUCAAAAGAUGCUUUUCCCCAUGCUAUUUUGCGUUCUUCUUGGAGCUCUUCAUGUCACUGCACAAGCUGGAUGUGGACCACCACCAAGAGUAAACAAUGGACGACCCGAUUCGACGAAUACAUUUUUUCCUGUGAAUGAUAUGGUGCGGUACCAGUGCAAUUCUGGUUACGCUGCAACAAAAAACUCUUCAUUACGUCUGCAGUGCGUGGCCAAUGGGACUUGGGGAGAGCUAAACUACUGGUGCGAGCGUAAGACAUGUUCUCCAAAACCUAUUGACCAAGGCUCUUACACUGGCGGAAUCUCUUUUGGAGAUACGAUUACGUAUACGUGUGAUGAUGGGUAUGCGCUCACAGGAAAAACAUACCAACUAACAUGCAUGGCUGAUGGGACUUGGAAUCCAGUGGAUCCACCAGAUUGCCAGCCUGUCUCGUGUCCUGAGAUAGAUCUUACUGAGAAAUUGGUGUUUCAGCUAUCACUCCAAUAUCAAUACGGAUCAAGGGUUACUUAUAGUUGUGAGGCUGGCUUCUCGCUUAUAGGAGACUCAUUUCGGGACUGCUUGGAGAGUGGCAAAUGGUCUGGAUCCAAGCCCAUCUGUAAAGAUGUUAAGUGCAAGACACCUCAAUGGGACAUCAGCCACGGCCAAGCGAUGGGUGAACGUAAAGAAGCUUACAAGUACAACGAUAUUGUGAGAUACGAAUGUUCAGCAAGAUAUCGGGCUGAACCAAGUGAAAUCCACUGCACCGAGAGCAACGAGUGGUCUGCCACGGUCAACUGUGUCUUGACUGGCUGCCACAGCCCUCCUCUGAUUGGCAAUGGUGACGUGGUGCAACCGAAGUCGGAGUAUGCCAUGGGUGACUCGGCGUCCUACAAAUGUCGCAAAGGCUAUCGGUUAGAGGGCAGUGAAACGGCUGUUUGUAGGGAAAACUAUCAGUGGACACAGCCUCCAACGUGUGCAUCGGUCACAUGUGGCCCUCCAGCCACAGUCAUCAAUGGCAAAAUAAAGGAACAAGCAAAGACUCCGUAUGCAUAUGGAGACAGAGUGUCAUACAUCUGCGAUGACACUUACCAUCUGGUGGGAAAUGGUGAAAUUACUUGCCAAAACAAUGGGCAGUGGUCACCUUCACCUAGCUGUGCGUUAAGAACAACAUCUCUUCCGCGCACGGAAGAUCCGCUUCAGUGUUCGUGUGACAAACCCCCUGCGAUUGAACACGGAGAAGGAAAUGACAAAUACAAGUCUGUAUAUGCUUGUGGAUAUACAUUAUCGUACAAGUGCAAGACAUGUUACUUCCCAGUUCACUCUGAAAUUACUUGCCAACAGAACGGGCAGUGGUCACAUUCGCCUGGCUGUGUGUUUAAUGCUACUUGCGUUAUUGUCCCUGUCGUUAUUAUUGUAGCCCUCAUUGGUGCGAUGCUUGCAUUUGCAUUCUUCAAGAAAAUUGCGUGUUUUGCACCAAGUGGAAGCAAAACCAUAAAUGACCCUAGGAAGAAUGAAAACGAAAUCCCUCUUAAUGAUACUAUGUCGUUGAAGCCUAACGAUGCAUGAGAGGUCACAUGGAGCAUGCAGGUAACCGAGUGCUUUGUGUUCGCGCUGGGGUUGGAAACCCACGGCUUUGAGGUCUACCAUUUAGAAACGGCCCACAAACAAUAUCCGUCACUAAGUGUUUGAGCCACACUUGUCGAGUGCUAGAGCAAAAUGUACGCAUAUAUCGGAACUGGCAAAACUGUAAUAUAAUUUUAGUGUCCUUAGUCACUUGUCAUUUCAAGAGCCUCCAACACACUGGUGUGCUGUACUCGUGACGAAUUGGCAUGUUCUGUUUACGUGACCACCAUUAAUAGUUGGCUGUGUCGGGUGGUGGCGGGUUUUAACGACACAUUUAUGUAUUUACACGAUCUAACCCAAAAAUGCUCUUAUGGUUUCUGUUACUGUUAUGUAUGCAUGUGGCUAUGCGUGUGAUCUUCAUGAACAGUCGCAAAUUGUGAAUCUGUCUGCCCAAUUUCAACUGAGAAUCAUACUGAUUGUAAUGAGGAAUGACUUGAAAUAUUUAAUUUUAACAUUUUCAUAUUGAAGGGUUAGAUUAAAGGAUUAUUAAUAUAAAAUUUGCAAUAUUAAUAGUAUAAUUCUACAGUUUUGUAAGUGGAUAUGAUAAAACACAUGUAAAGAAAGACAUUAAAUGUAAGAAAUUUGUCUCUUCUGACAAUGCAUGGCAGGAUGCAGAUGUUAAUGUUAUAAUGUUGAUACAUGUUAAAGAAAAGCUAUUAAAACCAAGCAAAGCCCAGUGAUAUAUUUGCUUGAGAGGAUGGUAACAUCUGGGAAACAUGAAUGUGUGUUAAUUAUUAUUGGCAAUCAUUCCAUACAUUAACGACCAAAUAAGCCGAGGCUUAAGGAAUGUUCGUGUGAAAUUAGGCGGCUGGGUAGCCCAGCAAGACCCCACGAUGGUCAAUUUGCUCAUUAACCACACACCAAGCACACUACCUGCUGUAAAGAUAAACUUGUCUAGAACAAAAUGGUGAAAAGAAGCCUGUCCCUGCACAAUUACAAUCACCAUACUCUGCCUUGCAAAGAGGAUCAUAGGAAUCAAUUGGCUUCAUCUAAUGGGAAUUGAUAUUAUUGCCGUAUUUUCAACAAUUAUUUUUCUGGGUUUUUUUGUCUUUGUGAAUGAGCAAUAACAUUUUUUUUGUAAUACAUAUGUUUUAAUAUUUAAAUCGUGUACUGUUUGCACGUGUAUUGCCUCUUCUCAAUCCAACAGAUGAAUGCGUGUUCUGAAAAAAAAUUCUUCUACAGAUCUGGAAUGAAGACCUUUUGUAUAGUAAAGAAAAUUAAUAUUAAUAUAAGGACUGAAUAGGGUCCUUAUUUUCACAUUGGUCUUAUUUAAUGUUAUUUGUUCAGCAGAUGUAAGCGGAACUUGUGGAUAAAAAAAUCUUGCCUUCUAAAUGAUUUUUAGCACUGAAAGCCUUAUUUAAUCAGUAUUGUAAAAUAAAACCAACUUUAUUUGGUAAAGGUAAUUUAAGAAUGCACUUGUCCAUAAAAUAAUGUUAUUUUUGACUGCUAAAGCUGCGUGUGAUGCGCCCAUUUCUUUAAAAGUAAAAAAAAAUCAUUUUCUAAAAUGUGGUGAAUUGGAGAGCAUUUCCAUUGUUACCAGCACCAUAUAGUAUUUAAUUGAAGCACCUUUUAUAAUCGCUCUAAAUAACUGUUGUGUUGCUUUGAGUCUUUACAAAAAAACCCUCUGCUUUGCCCAUCACGACCAUCAACCUGGCAUUGCGUUGUCUUGUUGGUGCAAGCUUCUCCGCCAAUUAUUAUUACCUCGUGCCAGCUUUGUCCAUUUGAAAACCCUUACCACCCUGGCAUUGGAACAUCCCACCCAACCGGCACAUACACAUGUGCCAGUUCUGAAUUCAGAUUCUGGGACCAGCGCGCAUUUGUUUAUGCAAUGAUGCAUUCGAUUAAACAUCGGCAAGAUUUUGGUGUCUGCUCGGCCGCUUUUUUUUUUAAGCCAAAGAAAUGUUUCGGAUGUUUAGUUGUUGGACCCCCCGAAGGUGAUGAUGAUGCCGCCAAUCGACUUAAACCCUUACUCCCACCUUCAGAUAAAAAAAAAACGCUUCUGUAAAAAGCUGAGUUAUGGAGGGACAAAUCCCAUGUUACAUUUGACCACAACAGUUACCCAACUUGAAAUGUCCAGGAGCGGUUUGGAUGAUGACUCGCUGUAAUUCGGAGUGGAGCUCGUGCCUGAUUGGAACUUGGUUUAGACCAAGGGAUCAUUGGAAAAAGAAAGUAAAUUAGGUUCAGUAAAUGCCAAUAAAUGUGUGCAAUUAAAAUACAUUUUGCUGGAUAUUGUACACCAAUCCCUGAGAAAUUGACCCUGAUCUUGUAUUUAUCCUUAGCUCUUACACUCUUAAUAAAACAAUGUUUGUAUUUCCAUUCUGUAACCUUAGCUUUGUGUCUAAAACGAGUAGGAACUCACUCCUAAUCCUUAAAUAAACAUUUGUUUUGCUUCUAACCACCACAAAUCACCGUGAUUUCUGAGGACGUAAGUUUCCAAAACAAUGAAUUCUGUCAAUAUUUAAGAAUUACAACGUUCUUUUGAAAAGCCUAACAGCAUGUGAGGGUUGUUUGAGUAACAGUUAUCACCACUAGUGGUGCAUGUUAAUGCUGCAAUGUACGACCUGCUUGCAGUCACGACUGGUAUUUGUUGAAGUAAGUGAUUGUGGACGUGUAUAAUAAGUACGCUGCUUUCCCUAUGUUGCCUGUCGUAUUAUAUUAAAAAAAAAUCACGUUUCAGUGCAGUGAGUAUUCCCUCUGGUUUCCCAUCCUUGAUGUAGAUUGAGAGCAAUCUCUCCCAAUGUGCUUGUUGGCAUGUCAAUUUGCCUUGUUGCGCAUGGCUGUUUGCCUCUCCAUCAGUAUUUUUGCACAGUCCUGGUGAGAUCAACGACCGUUGCUGACUAUGUCAGUGGCCAGGAACGCUUAUCCAAACACAAGAUUACAGCAAAUACGUAAUUACUUUUGAAUUUACGUGUUAUGAAUCUAAUUAGGAAGCCCCCUUUCACCGUUGAGCCAAUCCAAUGGUGAUUUUCUUUGCCAAGCUGUGUAUUGAGCAUUUAUUUUCUCUUGCUUUUGCCACACACGAUCGAGGUAAUCGUGCCUCAUGUUCGCAUUUUAUAUUUUGUUUGCCUUUCCAUCUUCUGACUCCGGUUGAACACAUUACGAAGGAUCAGUGACGACUACAUUUGGUCGAUUAAUUAUAUAAAGAAAUGCUCAACAUGCAGCCUACCUCAGAAAACCACAUUUAUAAAUGACAAGCACGUUACCUACGACAUUAAAACAACGUCCUUCAUAAAUGCUUCUGCAAGCGUGUUUUGCCGUCUUAAUUUUAACGGCAAAUAUUGGUUUAUGCAGACUUAAAUUGCCAAAUGUUUCAGUAUACUCCCAAAUGGCUUCAUUUGUAAAGGUGGAAAUCGUCAUACCCACCUCCGUCUCCCAACCCCAAAAAUCACAUUUGACUGGACCCUCUGGAAAGUGCCACAGGAGUUGAAUGGAUUCUGCGUUACCCUUACAGGCCACUCUGCUUCUCUCCAAACAUUUUCUCCCAGCUGUGCAAAAAAAAAACAAUGGAAUACCAUUCACAAAGACUGUAAAUAAAAAAAAAAUUGCCUUGGGAUACUUUUUUUAUUACAUUAUUUUAUCACCAUUGUAGGACGUGUGAUUAGACUCCGCAAUGUUUCAUGACUGCUAUAUCUGUGUGUGUUUUGUAAUGUGGCUAUUGCACCGGGUCUCGUGGUGUUGAACUAUCGUGCUGCAUGUGAUGGCUGGAAAUGGUAGUUUGCCUGCAGAGGAAAUGUGAUCUGUUUGGCACAAGCCAGACAUUGGAGUGGAUACAAUGAAACCGCUAAAUUGCUUUGUAUAGAAUUGGUAAAGUUGGAAUCUGGUCAUUGAUUUCUUAAAAUGUAAUCUACUGAGCACUGUAGUUGUAGCACUUAUAUUAAAAUAUUUUGUAUUCAUCGGCAGAUGAAUGAUUUGUAUUGACAUGUUGCCCGUUUUUUUUCUGUUUGGCUGCUGUUUUACUUACGAGAACGCAAGUUAGCUAUAAUGGUAUCGGCACUGCAAAGAAAGUUAAGAUUUGGACCUUGCUUAGAUUCAGAUUUGGGUCCUAUACAUAUUCCCCCCUUAAGUCUGCUUGGAUAUAUGUGCAGUAAGGUUAUUCAAAUUCAUUUCUAAGACAACCCUGAUCUUAAAUCAGGUGAUAAUAGUGUUAAUAUUAUGAACUUUUUAAAGGCAUUUAUUUUAUAAAGGAAAUGAUGGAUACUCAAAUUAAAAUAAAUGAGUGACAACUUGCCGACAGGGGCGAUAUGAAGGGUAUAAUAUACACAUCUUGUUUAAAUAGACAUCGGAGAAAAUGCCUUUGAAAAUUACUAAGAGUACAUCUAAAUUAGAACAAAGAACUGCAUGUAAACUGAGAACGGUUCCAUCAAUUGUGAACGCGUGGAUUUGUAGUGAAGCUCGUGAUGAUGGGGUUUUUAGGUCAAAGCGCAGUGUUGAAGGGUGACGUUUGCGAGUGCUUUGUGUUGAAUCUGUUGAGCUUUUGUGAUAUAUACUGCAGAAGUUGGGGUUUCAAUUGCUGGCGGUUGCUGGUGGGUUUUAUGGCCUAAAUCCCUAAAACACAUUUGUUAAGUGAUAAUUGUUAACAGCACAAUACUCUGGAGAAGACGUACCAUAGGUUUUGCUGCCUGCCUUUGCACUGGGCAACAUUAAAGACACCACGUGAUAUCUGUC